rnacentral:rRNA from 1 species
AUUGAACGCUGGCGGCAGGCCUAACACAUGCAAGUCGAGCGAGCGGCGGACGGGUGAGUAAUGUCUGGGAAACUGCCUGAUGGAGGGGGAUAACUACUGGAAACGGUAGAUAAUAACGCACAUCAUCAGCGGUGCCCAGAUGGGAUUAGCUAGUAGGUGGGGUAACGGCUCACCUAGGCGACGAUCCCUAGCUGGUCUGAGAGGAUGACCAGCCACACGGGAACUGAGACACGGUCCAGACUCCUACGGGAGGCAGCAGGGGGGAAUAUUGCACAAUGGGCGCAAGCCUGAUGCAGCCAUGCCGCGUGUGUGAAGAAGGCCUUCGGGUUGUAAAGCACUUUCAGCGGGGAGGCGUUACCCGCAGAAGAAGCACCGGCUAACUCCGUGCCAGCAGCCGCGGUAAUUC